rnacentral:rRNA from 1 species
AUACGUAGGUGGCGAAGCGUUGUCCGGAAUUAUUGGGCGUAAAGGGCGCGUAGGCGGGAUAGUCAGUCUGUUGUAAAAGUUCGGGGCUCAACCCCGUGAAGCAAUGGAAACUGCUAUUCUUGAGUGCAGGAGAGGAAAGUGGAAUUCCCAGUGUAGCGGUGAAAUGCGUAGAUAUUGGGAGGAACACCAGUGGCGAAGGCGACUUUCUGGACUGUGUCUGACGCUGAGGCGCGAAAGCCAGGGGAGC